rnacentral:rRNA from 1 species
AUUGAACGCUGGCGGAAUGCUUUACACAUGCAAGUCGAACGGCAGCAUAGGUGCUUGCACCUGAUGGCGAGUGGCGAACGGGUGAGUAAUACAUCGGAACGUGCCCAGUCGUGGGGGAUAACGUAGCGAAAGUUACGCUAAUACCGCAUACGAUCUACGGAUGAAAGCGGGGGACCGUAAGGCCUCGCGCGAUUGGAGCGGCCGAUGUUAGAUUAGGUAGUUGGUGGGGUAAAGGCUCACCAAGCCGACGAUCUAUAGCUGGUCUGAGAGGAUGAUCAGCCACACUGGGACUGAGACACGGCCCAGACUCCUACGGGAGGCAGCAGUGGGGAAUUUUGGACAAUGGGCGCAAGCCUGAUCCAGCCAUUCCGCGUGCAGGAUGAAGGCCCUCGGGUUGUAAACUGCUUUUGUACGGAACGAAAAGGCUCUUCCUAAUACGAGGGGCUCAUGACGGUACCGUAAGAAUAAGCACCGGCUAACUACGUG